CCUACGGGAGGCAGCAGUGGGGAAUUUUGGACAAUGGGCGCAAGCCUGAUCCAGCAAUGCCGCGUGCAGGAUGAAGGCCUUCGGGUUGUAAACUGCUUUUGUACGGAGCGAAAAGGUCACCUCUAAUACAGGGGGCUCAUGACGGUACCGUAAGAAUAAGCACCGGCUAACUACGUGCCAGCAGCCGCGGUAAUACGUAGGGUGCGAGCGUUAAUCGGAAUUACUGGGCGUAAAGCGUGCGCAGGCGGUUCUAUAAGACAGUUGUGAAAUCCCCGGGCUCAACCUGGGAAUUGCAUCUGUGACUGUAGGGCUAGAGUACGGCAGAGGGGGAUGGAAUUCCGCGUGUAGCAGUGAAAUGCGUAGAUAUGCGGAGGAACACCGAUGGCGAAGGCAAUCCCCUGGGCCUGUACUGACGCUCAUGCACGAAAGCGUGGGGAGCAAACAGGAUUAGAUACCCUGGUAGUCCACGCCCUAAACGAUGUCAACUGGUUGUUGGGAAUUUACUUUCUCAGUAACGAAGCUAACGCGUGAAGUUGACCGCCUGGGGAGUCGGCCGCAAGGUUGAAACUCAAAGUAGUAGUACGGCGNGNGAGAGCGACGACGACGACGACGGAGGGAGGAG
rnacentral:rRNA from 1 species